GCGUCCGUAGCUCAUCUGGAUAGAGCGCAACCCUCCGGAGGUUGAGGCAAGAGGUUCGAGUCCUCUCGGGCGCA
rnacentral:tRNA from 1 species